AACAUGGUGGGAACCAAUCAUGUCAUUGCUAUGAGUUUAUGCAGUAGUUCUGAAACUAGUCCUGCACUGUGCAAAGCCCCUAUACCCAACAUAACCAAAGGAAGUGUCAUAAACCAAUACAUUGACAUAGAAAAUAAACUAUCUAUAUUACAUCUCAUUUACCUCACCUGAUCUCAUCUCAUAUCAUCUGAUCUCAUAUCAUCUGAUCUUUCCUUCUCGAAGGUCACAGGGUAAUUCCAUUCACCCAUUUAGUGGAGAUCAUCGGAUUCAACCAUCAAAGAAUGAAUUCUACUGCUUUACAGCUGAGCACCUCUGCACAGUCUUCAUGGACAAGUAUGGUAUCCAACAGUACCCCAUACCUGGAUACUUUUACAUCUUCCAG